GGAGGCAGCGGUCCCCAGCGCAGGGGAGGACUUUGUCACACAGCCAUCCCUCUGCGGGCCUUGCUCUCUGCGGCGAACUCCCCAGUGCGCGCUGGGAGGCAGAAGCUUUCAGGAACGUACAGCCAGAGCUGCCCGAAGAGAACGGGUGGCAGGGCCCACAGGGCCCCAGCAGUGACCCAGGCCAGAGAUCUCUGUGCCGACGUUGUGGAAACCAUCCCGCUGGCGGCCACACUAGGGACCCUCCUCUGGCCUGGCUCCCAGCACCCCGCGGCCAAGCCUGGCUGAUCUGCGACUCACAUGCCAAAUGAAGAAGAAAUCAGUGCCACAACACUGUUUAUUUUCCAUCAAUCUUACUUCUAUCGCGUUGCCUCUGUGGAGGAGCAGCUUAGGGCCACUCAGUGGUUGCUCCUACCCCUUCCAUGGCCUGAGCAGCGGGAGCAGCCAACCAGCCUUCCGCACCCGACUGAGUCUUCGGGAGGGAAGUGCUGACCAGGCCCAGCGCACACUUGCUUGUCCUUGAUGAGCCUGCACCUUCAAGUUCAGCCGUCAGUCAGGAGCUGGAGCAGUGCGCCCUGAAAUCCCUCCUUGGUCACGGCCUUUCCAGCGCUGGCCUGUUCUUCUCUGCAACCUUGUCAGCAUCUCUGUGAAGUAAGACACGACCGCCCGCGGGCGCACCCAGGAAACGGUGGCACGCAUGCGCAGAACUUCCCAGGCCAGCGUCCUCCACUUCGGACCCCCUGAGGGAGCUCCACUGUUGCUGCAAGGAAUGGCGAUGUCCACGGUGUGCAGGGGAGAGUCUGUGCUCCACAGAGCGAUGGAGGGCAGGUUAGUGCAAGACGCCUCUGUGACGGGCUGGUGGUCAGCCCUGCGAUCAGUUACCACCCAAGUCUGGGCUCCUGGAAGGUUUCCUGGAGGGCUCCAGGAGGGAGGUGACUGGCAACAGCCCACUGCAGCCCAGUGCCCUGGCUGGGGAUUCACGGAGGUUAGGAUGCUGAUGUCAGCCGGGUUUUCAAUGGCACAGCGACGCGAGCUGCCAGCAGAAGCUUCUCUCAGGUGUUCCUCGGGCUCAUGAUGUGGAUGCCCUCGCUUUUCUUCUGGGGGUGUGCUGCAAGAAACUCAAGGCCUUCCUCCUCUUCCACUUGCAGGAUGCCUGGGGCUCUGGACAUGGGGACAGUUUCCCUUUAAGCUGGGACAGGAACGUGGAACAACUUUGUAUUGACCCCUCCCUGGGUAGUGUGAAACAAAGCAAGUCUCUUACAUUUUAAAAUUCAGUUCGAUGGGUAA